rnacentral:lncRNA from 13 species
GGAGAGGACUUGUAAAGACAGAGACCGUGACCCCGGGCAGGCUGGCGUCCCAGCCCUUAGGGAAGAAAUAAUGAGUAGAUGAUUGUGUGAGAAAGAUGAGAAUCAGGCAGAUGAAGAGAAGGCCGGGGCAGCUGCCAGCCCCACUCCCUACCCCCAGGACUGAACCUCGGACCCCACCUGACAUUCCAGCUCCACUGCGCUGCCCUGGUCUCUGUGACAACUGGGAAUCAUUUUACAAACAGAAGAUUGUGGAUCCGUGGGAACACAGAGGUGCUGAACGCUUUCUUAUGCCAGUGAACGUUCUUCUGCAGCGUGACUUCCAGUAGUAUUCCACUGAAUGGACGAAACACAGCGUAACUUCCGGUAGUAUUCCGCUGAAUGUACGCAACACGGUGACUUCCGGUAGUAUUCCGCUGAAUGGACGCAACACGGCGUGACUUCCGGUAGUAUUCCACUGAAUGGACGCAACACGGCGUGACUUCCGGUAGUAUUCCGCUGAAUGGACGCAACACGGUGUGACUUCCGGUAGUAUUCCACUGAAUGGACGCAACACGGCGUGACUUCCAGUAGUAUUCAGCUGAAUGGACGCAACACGGCGUGACUUCCGGUAGUAUUCAGCUGAAUGGACGCAACACGGCGUGACAUCCGGUAGUAUUCCGCUGAAUGGACGCAACACGGCGUGACUUCCGGUAGUAUUCCACUGAAUGGACGAAACACAGCGUAACUUCCGGUAGUAUUCAGCUGAAUGGACGCAACACGGCGUGACUUCCGGUAGUAUUCCGCUGAAUGGACGCAACACGGCUUCAUCAGCCGCUGCUUCGUCUCCUGUGAAUUUGGGUUUCCCUGAGUUCCUUGUCAGCAGCAACUCCGCCUGAGUUUUAUGGGCACGAGGCAGGCAGCCCCACCUGCCAACCACACAGCCCACUCACAUGAAAUGUCCCAACUCAGAAACUGGCACCCGAAACCUUCCAAUCACCACUCCCAUCACCUCCACUCUUCAGAAGCAAUGGGGCCUGGUGAAAGGGCACUGUUGAAGGGACUUGCAGUCUCCUGG